UCCAGUCCUGUCCUGUCCUGUCCUUUCCUUUCCUUUCCUUUCCUUUUUUCCGUUUUUUGUCUGUACCCAUCCUGGUUGUUGGCUUCUUCAGCUUCAAGUCUGGGAUAUAUGAAAAAAAGAAAAAUAGAAAACCCACAGAACUCACCACUGUGUUGUUCUUCAAGUCCUGAAAUUUGGCUUCUCUCCACUUUUCAGGCAUAUUGAAAAUGUUUUCCACUAUCUUUUGGCCUCCAUAAAGUCAGACGAGAAGCCAGUGGCUAUUUGAAUAGUUAUUCCCGGGAUGUAACAUGUUAUUUUCCUUUGGCUGGUAUCAAGCAUUCUACCAUUAUUGUCCAUUGGCUGUGGUUUCCCUGAAUUUCCUACUUUUAAACAACUGCAGCUUUUCCAACAGAGAUUAUGUCCUUCUGCAUGGUGAAGACUGAUAUACCCAAAAGCUGAAAAGUAUAAGAAAUGAAGAACUAACCUGUGCCUUGUUUUUCUUUCAAAUAUUGAAGCGUUGACUUUCCUCCCAAACCUCUGUGUUGACUCUCAAAUGCCUUCAAAUAAUUGUGUUUUGUCAUCUGUUCAUGGCUUGUAGUUGUUAUCUUAUGUAGGGUUAGUCCUGUAUAGGCUUGUUCAGCCAUGACAGAAGUGGAUUUCCUCCCCCAUGCCAUUUCUUAUUUUGCAAAUUUGUUUUCUCCUUUUUUUAAAGUUAGGUUGUUAGCUAGUGAUUUGUCUAUUUUGAUUAUUUUUAAUAGAAUAUUAAUUUGAUUUAAAGUUUUUCUGUUCUCUACUCUUUUAUUCUUUCAUUUUUCUUCCUUGUGCUUUCCUUUGAUUUCCUUUUCUUUAUUAAAUAUUGAUGCUUCAUUUAUUUUUACUUUUAUUGCUAUAAUUCUACAAUGUUACACAUUUUCUUUUGGUUACUGCUUUACAAGUUUCCCAUAGCUUCUGAUAUGUAGGAUUCUCAUCAUCAUUAUUUUUGUAAAUAAACUAAAUUUAUGACAUCUGUAUUCUUUCACUCAAGAGUUAUUUAAUAAAAAGUUGAAUUUCUUACCUAGUGGGUACAACAUACAUUAUUUGAGUGAUGUUUACACUAAAAGCCCAGAGUUCACCAUUAUGCAAAUUAUCCAUGUAAUAAAACUGCACUUCUAUCCCCUAAGUCCAUUAAAAUAAAAUUUUAAAAGAAUCCUAUAGCUACUUCUCACGUUUGUUAUAAGUGUGAGUGUUACAACAAUAUAAAUGUUAUCGUUGUAACAUAAGUAAGUUAUAAGUGUUAGUGUUAUAACAAUUAUUCAGUUCCUAGUAUUAAACAUUUCUAUUAUGAAAAACAGUUGAAUUUCCAAGUAGACAGAUUUUUUUGAUUAUUGAUUUUAUAUUUGACUUCUAUUUGUGUUGCAUUGCAAUCACACAAAAUAUUUCCACUUUGUGAAAACUAAUGAUGAUUCUUGAUACACGGUCAAUUUUUAGAAAUGUUUCAGGUGUGUUCGAGAAGAUAUAUUCUCUAUCGUCAGAAUAUUAUGUUUGUUAAAUGUCUGAAAAAUUCUACUUUACUGACUGUGUUAUUUAGAUCAUUUUUAUAUCCACAUUAAUUUUUGUCUACUUGGCUUCUUUUAUAUUGACAAUGGUGUAUUAAAUCCCAUAUUAUUAAUGGGUUUUUAGAAAUCCUUUUUAUCUCAUGUUGUUUCAGUUUGAUAUUGCAGUUGUUCUAUUAUUUGGCAUGUAAGUAUUCAUAACCGUUAUGUCUGUGGUGUUUUGAAAAGUGACUUUUAGCAUUAAAUAUAUAUUGUGGAGUGCGCUUUUUAGCAUUUAAAAUGUGUCAGACUUUGCCUUUUUAAUACUUUUUAAUGUAAAUUCUACUUUGUUAUCAAGAUUGAAAACACUUCUUAUUAUUUCCCUGUUUCUAUCAAUUCUUU
rnacentral:lncRNA from 10 species